GAAUUAUUUCUAGGUACUCGAGGAGAAGACGUUUCGUUACGAGAAUUUCAGCUAAUUUCGAGGGAUUCCAAGAAUUUAAAAAUAUUAGAAGGGUUACCAAUAGAAGUUUUAGAAAAAGUUAUAACCGUGCUAAUUUUAUGUGAUCAGGCAAAGAAGCUAGAAGAUCAUUAUUUAUUAACUAAUACAAGAAGGUUCCUCAUUAUUUAAUUCGUCUUUUUAAGUUCCGUGAUAUUAACAAAGGAAUUUAUUGGUUUACUCAACAAAGUAUAUGUAAUAUCAGUUCAUAUGGAAUAAUAAAAGUAUUUAAGACUAAUGUGAUAAGAUUUUAACAUUUCGAAGGAUAAAGUGAAGUUACUAUAUACAGUAAAAUUUCAGAGCAGUGUUUUAGUAGCAACAAUUUCUGACAUAUUUGAUAACAAUGAUAUAUUGUUCAUUAUUGAACACGUUGGAAGCUGUAGUAACCGAAUGUUCUGGUCAUCCCAUCAGAAGUGAAAAACAAGAUCUUGUGUAAAGUUAUUCUAAUGUAAUAAUUUAUUUAAAUUCUUAACUUUAAUUAUUUGAAUAUAUUGCAAGUUUUACUGCAUUGGCAGAGGUUCCAAAUGUUUGAAUAUUUUAAUAUUCUGAAUUAAAUAAAAUCUUUCUGUGACUACUGCUUAUAAAAAAUGAUUUAGUGUUUUAAAUUAUUUGAUAAUGAUUAAGACAAGUUAUCAAAAUUAACAAACAUUUUAAAAUGUUAAUUUUUAGUUUGCUUAUUUAUUAAAAAAAAAUGAAAGUCUUUGUCUACCAAAAAUAUGUUUAGUAUUAUUAUAUAAUUUACACUAGCUAAUUUAUGUUCUCUGAAUUUUUGUAAGUGCUUUUCUGAACAUUUUAUUUAAAAAACUGGUAUUAUUAUGGGGCCUAAAAAGAGUGGCAUGUCAAGAACUGUGUUCACUAUAGAAACUUAAUCAAGAGAUAUGCCAACUCUCUACCUUGGCUAUUAUAUGUCGUCUGAUAUUUUAGGCAGAUGACUUCAACGGGUCUACAGUAGAUAAAUCUUAGCUAAGGAAGAUAUAAUCAAAAAGACUUGAGCUGAUAAAGAAGUAAUGAAAAUCGCAUCUGAGAAACAAAGAUGUGUCAUCCAUGAAAAAAUAGAGAAAUUGCUUUUAGUUUGUUAUUACAUGUAAAUAAACAUAGUAAGAAAGUAUAUAAUUUUUUAUUUUUAUGGGUCUCCAGAACGAAUUAAUCAAAUAAAAAAAAAGUUAAAUUUAAAAACUCACGCCAAGUUUUGCAUAGUUUCUGGAUACAAAUUCACUGAAUUAAUCAAAUUCCUACAAAAAUCUAUGGUAAAUUGAUAAUCGGUUAACAAACAAUUUGGAUAGCAAAUGUAGUCUUGGAACGGAUUAUGUUCAUUAACAGAUCACCCACUAUAAAAUGUAAUUUAAUAUUUUAACAAAAACACAGAUGAAAAAAGUAAUUAAAUUUGUUUUUCUGAGUUCUAUAUAAGUUUUGUGAGUAUUAUUAUUAAAAAUUUAUUUCUUGAAAUAAAAAUUCUGCAAAGAAUUAUUUUAGGAAUUAGAAAAAACUUAAAAUUCAAAUUUUCUUGACAGAAAAGUAAGAAAAACAGUAUUUACAAGCAAAUUUUUCUGUAAUGUUAAUUUAGUAAAUAAAUUUAUUAAUGAGAAACAUUCAAAAUUUGAAAGUUAAAUGAUCAAUAACUUUCUUAUCUCUCUAGAAGUUUAUCCAAACUAGAAACAAAUAUUUAGCAACAUGAUAUAAUAUACAAGGUGCGUUCCAUAAGUAAUGCAACCAAAUUCAUAAAAAAUCAUGUAUUGAACAUAUUCUUACAAGUAGUCAAAAAUCUUCAAAAUAGCACCCUCCUGCAUCGAUACACUUGUGAAGGCAGUGUUUCCAGGUCUGAAAGACCUUCUCCGGAAUGUCCUUUAGAGCUGAUGUAACAUAAGCCUUGAUGUUUUCAAUCAUGUCCCAAUGUUUCCCUUUCAUGGCCCCUUUUAAGCAACGAAACAAAAAGUCGGCGGGAGCCAGGUCAGGACUGUAAGUUGGCUGUGGAACCAAUGGGGUGUGGAUCAUGGCCAGGAAAUCGUUGACAAUGAAGGCAUUCUGGCUUGGUGUGUUGUCAUGAUGAAGUUUCCAUGUGUUCUUGAUGUCACUUCGGCAGCACACGACCCUCCUUUUCAGUCAUUUGAGCACUUCCAAGUAGAAAGCUGCAUUUACAGUGGUCUGGCAGGUACGAAUUUGUGAUGGAUAAUGCCUCUGACGUGAAAAAAGUCAAUGAGCAUGGUUUUGAUCCUGGACUUGCUUAUGCAUGCCUUCUUGGGGUGGGGUGACUUGUGCCAUUGGAAAACUUGUGAUUUGGACAAGCAAUCACUCCCAAAGGCUUACUGAAUUAAUGUAAAGGUUUCGGUGGCAGACUUCCCAAGUUUAACACAAAGUUUGAUAGUGUAACAUGCUCCACAAAAUGAUCCAUUGCGCAGUGUUACAUUAACUCAAAACAGGGUUCACAGGAACGAACGUCCUCACCCACCAGCAGCUUGGAAGCAAAUGAGACCAAGUGAGUUUUGAAGCUAACAUCCCAUGCCACCUAGCGCAGCAGGUUAGAACUAGAUACGGCAUAUCAUUGCAUCAUGAAAAAAUUGGUCACAUUACUUAUGGAACGCACCUUGUAUUUAUUUCAUAAGUAGUCGGGAAAUAAGUUUUCAUGUGUGUUAUAAAUUAAUUUUUUUUUCCUGGAGUACUUUGCAGUAGUGAUAUAUUUCAAAAUUUUAUUGUGAUAGUUGAAAUAUGUGCAAAAAUAAAUUCUUUUUAAAAAUAGAAAAUAUCACAAAAUAUUUUUCAAUUAGUAAUAGUUUUGUAAUCAUUUAGUGAGUGAUGUUCAACAAUAUUGUUUGCAACUACAAUACAGUUUGUUAAACCUGAAUAUCUGGUCAUCUGGCACCCUCUGAAUAGUAGUGGAUAAUCUGAAUUUUCCAAUAAUUCAACAUGCUAGUAUUUCACAAAUUGGCAAUUGUUUGGUUACAUGUUAGAGAUCCUGGGCAGAAAUUGAGGUAAAGGUUGGGGUAUGACUGAGCACAUUGCUAUGUGUUGGGAGGUUGUUGUCUCAAGAAUAAUUAGAACCUCAAACUCUUAUGAAAUGUAAUUUGGUAAACUAUACAUAGUCUACAUUGUAAUGUGCUGAAUUUAACAUUUCUUCAUUGGAGUUAGUGCACACAUUUUCAGAUUGGCGAUACAUCCAACUGACGUAUUUUCAUUCCCGUGGGCCAGUGCAAAGAUGGUGCACCUAAAACAAGUUUUUCAUACAUGAAUGUGUGUAGCUUUUGUGAAUUCUAUGUGUAUGACACGUCCCAAAAAUAUUACAGUACGUAUAUCUGAAUUGUAAAUGUUGACAAUAAAAUCUUCAUUAACAUUUCUGCAGGUUUUCCAAUCAAUCUUAACAUUUUAUGCUGCCAUAUGUUCUGGUAUAUGAUUUUAAUCUGGUACAGAAUGUACUGUACAUCAAUGUUUACAAUGUUCAGAUCACAUGUAACUUAUUAAACUUUGGAAAAAUAUGAAAAUGUCCAAUAAUCCUAUAUCAAAAUAAUUAGCACAACAGUGUAGCAGUGUUACAAACAUGAUUUAUUAGUGUAGUUAAGACAUACUUGCUAGUACUUUCUACAGCUUUUUAUGAUUAAUCCUGUAUCAUUUAUCUCAUAGGUACCAGAUUAUAAAUGUUUACUGUGAUUGCAGAAAUAAAAUAAUUUUCAGUAUUCUUAAAUUAAAAAUGUACAUUUUAUUUCAAUUGAAAGAUUUCAUACUUUGUGGUGACAUAAUUGACAUAUAUUUGUUGCCAAGAAUAUCAUUAAUACACUAAAUGAUUACAAUAUUUUGUAUUUCUAAUUUUGUACUAAACACUAAUCAUAUUAGUUCUGUAAAGUACAAUUUAUAUAUAUAAAUUCAAAUCAAUACAUUUUGAUAUAUUGGAAAAUGACAUUAGAGCUAUAAUAGAAGACUUACGGCAUUAACUUUCAAUGUAGCAUGCAAGCAUCACAAUUGUAUUAUUUAUUAUUAUUAAUUUUUUUAUUCAAUUUUAUUUGAUGAUAAGAAUUACAUCAAAAAAUUCUUUUACUGUUUUGUUUAAUUGAUAAGUCUAUAUUUCAGUCAAAUACAAUAGUUAACUAUAAUGAAUGCAUCAAAAAGCAUUUACUAAGUAACUAGUUAGCAAUAAAAUUGAUUACUAAAUUAUUAAGUAUAUUUAUGAAACAACUGGUUGCAUUCUUGUCAUCAGAUCAAACUUGGAACAUCUGGGAGGAAGAACGAUGAUGUCUUGCUCAAGCAUGCUCUGAUCUUCCUGGAAGUAAAGAUUACUUUUCACUGAUGACAUGUAAUAAUGAAUGUAAAUUCAACAAAAAAUCAAUGUAAACUGAUAAAACUAUUAGGCUGUGUACACACUAGGCGUUUUAAAGAACCAAGAGUUCUAUAUAGGCGUACACACUCAAAUACGUGUUUAUAGAUUUUUGUUAAAACGCGCGUUUUGCAG